GGCGAACGGGUGAGUAACACGUGGGCAAUCUGCCCUGCACUCUGGGACAAGCCCUGGAAACGGGGUCUAAUACCGGAUACGACCACUGAGGGCAUCCUCGGUGGUGGAAAGCUCCGGCGGUGCAGGAUGAGCCCGCGGCCUAUCAGCUUGUUGGUGGGGUGAUGGCCUACCAAGGCGACGACGGGUAGCCGGCCUGAGAGGGCGACCGGCCACACUGGGACUGAGACACGGCCCAGACUCCUACGGGAGGCAGCAGUGGGGAAUAUUGCACAAUGGGCGAAAGCCUGAUGCAGCGACGCCGCGUGAGGGAUGACGGCCUUCGGGUUGUAAACCUCUUUCAGCAGGGAAGAAGCGAAAGUGACGGUACCUGCAGAAGAAGCGCCGGCUAACUACGUGCCAGCAGCCGCGGUAAUACGUAGGGCGCGAGCGUUGUCCGGAAUUAUUGGGCGUAAAGAGCUCGUAGGCGGCUUGUCACGUCGGUUGUGAAAGCCCGGGGCUUAACCCCGGGUCUGCAGUCGAUACGGGCAGGCUAGAGUUCGGUA
rnacentral:rRNA from 1 species